GAUGAACGCUAGCGGAAGGCUUAAUACAUGCAAGUCGAGCGGUAGGUGGCUUCGGCCAUUGAGAGCGGCGCACGGGUGAGUAACGCGUACAUGACCUGCCUGUCAGAAGGGGAUAGCCCUGGGAAACUGGGAUUAAUACCCUAUGGUAUUGAUAUUAUGAAUGAUAUCAAUUAAAGUUGAGGCGCUGACAGAUGGAUGUGCGUCUGAUUAGCUAGUUGGUAGGGUAACGGCCUACCAAGGCGACGAUCAGUAGGGGGCGUGAGAGCGUGGUCCCCCACACGGGUACUGAGACACGGACCCGACUCCUACGGGAGGCAGCAGUAAGGAAUAUUGGUCAAUGCCCGCAAGGGUGAACCAGCCAUUCCGCGUGGAGGAUGAAGGCCCUAUGGGUUGAAACUGCUUUUGUACGGAACGAAACGGUUCUCUCUAAUACAGGGGGCUAAUGACGGUACCGUAAGAAUAAGCACCGGCUAACUACGUGCCAGCAGCCGCGGUAAU
rnacentral:rRNA from 1 species